CCCGAGUGUGCCGCCACCGCCGCCUGCCCGGAGAGCCCACCAGUCCCGCAACCCCUGGCCGGACUUGGUUUCCCCUUUUGGGGAUCCCUCACCGUUCUUUCAUUUGUUUGUUUGCUUUCUUUUACACGUUAUCUGGUUUAUUUCGCUCCCCGAGCCUGGAAAUAAAGGAACCGAAAGCAGCCAUCCUCGCCGAGGCCGUCUCUGUCCCUCUCCCCGAGGCCUGCACCGCCCUCAUAGGUGAGAGGAUUGAUUUGCUCAGAGCCAGUGGGGCCGGGCCGGCCGAGGCGCGGGGCCUUCUUGCAGCGGCUGCGGGCCGGGCCUCAAAUGUCAGUGCGGCCAGGGCGGCCCGGGGCACCGCCGCCUCUAACAUUGAGCAACAGCGCCACCUCGCGUCCAUUUGGUCCAAUGCAGUCCGGCUGGGAAAAAGCUAACAAGAGGUCCCAGGCUUGCCCCAAAGGUGGGAAGUGGGAGGAAGGAACCUCCAGAUGGGUGCUCAAGAGAG
rnacentral:lncRNA from 1 species